AAAGGAUUCAUGUGUGAUCGUAGAUGAAUCUAAUAAUAGUUUGGGCAAUCUCCACUACCUGCUGCACCCUACGAAUCUUUCCAGUAUCCAUUAAUAUAAGAUCAAUGCAAUGUGUAGCACAUGGGGUCCAGUAUAUCUGCGGUCACUGCUCCAUCAGCAACUCUCCAACAGCCUUAUAUUGUGGCCCAUUAUCUGUGAUGACUUGCACGAUAUACUGCUCACCCACUGAAUCAAUCACCUCCAUCAGAUCAAGGAUAUAUACAGCAUCGUGCAUCUUAUCUGAAGUAUCAAUUGAUUUGUGAAAAAAUAUUUUUUCAUCGUAAUAUAUCAAAAAAUUAAUGAUGCUUCAUCUA
rnacentral:lncRNA from 1 species